CUUGAACGCUGGCGGCAGGCCUAACACAUGCAAGUCGAACGCGUGGCGGACGGGUGAGUAAUGUCUGGGAAACUGCACGAUGGAGGGGGAUAACUACUGGAAACGGUAGAUAAUACAGCAUACCAUCGGAUGUGCCCAGAUGGGAUUAGCUAGUAGGUGGGGUAACGGCUCACCUAGGCGACGAUCGCUAGCUGGUCUGUGAGGAUGACCAGCCACACUGGAACUGAGACACGGUCCAGACUCCUACGGGAGGCAGCAGUGGGGAAUAUUGCACAAUGGGCGCAAGCCUGAUGCAGCCAUGCCGCGUGUAUGAAGAAGGCCGUCGGUUUGUAAAGUACUUCCAGCGAGGAGGCGUUACUCGCAGAAGAAGCACCGGCUAACUCCGUGCCAGCAGCCGCGGUAAUUC
rnacentral:rRNA from 1 species